rnacentral:rRNA from 1 species
UACGUAGGGGGCAAGCGUUGUCCGGAUUUAUUGGGCGUAAAGAGCGUGUAGGCGGCUUGGUAGGUCCGCUGUGAAAACUCGAGGCUCAACCUCGAGAUGUCGGCGGAAACCACUUGGCUAGAGUCCGGAAGAGGAGAGUGGAAUUCCCGGUGUAGCGGUGAAAUGCGUAGAUAUCGGGAAGAACACCCGUGGCUAAGGCGGCUCUCUAGUACGGUACUGACGCUGAGACGCGAAAGCGUGGGGAGCGAACAGG